CGGCGUGCCUAACGCAUGCAAGUCGCACGGGGGCUUCGGCCCUAGUGGCGGACGGGUGAGUAACACGUAGGGAUCUGCCCAGAAGUGGGGGACAACUUCCCGAAAGGGAAGCUAAUACCGCAUACGGUCUACGGACCAAAGCCGCAAGGCGCUUCUGGAGGAUCCUGCGGUGGAUUAGCUUGUUGGUGGGGUAACGGCCUACCAAGGCGACGAUCCAUAGCUGGUCUGAGAGGAUGAUCAGCCACACUGGGACUGAGACACGGCCCAGACUCC
rnacentral:rRNA from 2 species